UAUCUUCCAUUCUUACUCGAUUUCAUUUGGCUUCUUCUACUUCUUCAUCUCGAUCGUUCUCCGCUAGAUCGAAGUUGUCAUCGGAUGAAGAAGAACGAACGAAGCUCGGCUUCUGCAGCUUACAUGUGGCGAGAUCAAGCAAACCCCGAAGUUCCUUAAUGGCAGACUUCGUUCCGACUUCGGUGACAACAAUUGCGAAAUUAGGGUUUGAUAGUAAAAGAAGGGGAAGGGUCGUGGAAUAGUAAUGGGGGAAGCAGCGCUGGCGUCCAACCCUCGCGGUGGGGGCCCUGUCUGGGCCACGAUAAACUUCCAUAGUGCAGCACAGCGCGGUCGGCCAUGGCGGAGGCAGAUUACCCCAUCUAGGGUUUACUCUCUGCUGCGCCCUGUCACCGUACGAUUUCCCCCGCAUUCUUGACGAGAAUCCCGCAAAGUUCCCAUUUUGCACCCUUUCCAACGCAUUGAUCUUUGUCCCCUCGCUUCGUUAUUCUCCGUUGAAGAUUUCAUUAACUUGGUUCGGAGAGGACAUUGAUGAAUGAAAACGCCCUGAUGUUAGCUGGAUUAGCUGUUGGGAAAAAAAAAAUGACUCUCUCCGGCAAAUUCCCUGAUAGUUGCUUUUCACAAAGCUUCCGUCAGAAAGCCAAAAGCCAUGAUUUGCAUCACAUGAACAUGAUGCAGUUGCAGUGAACAUCACAGCACUUCUGUACAGAAUUAGGAGAGUAUGGUGGCAUGUGAAAUAGUUCAUUAUAGCAGAAAAUGCAGUUGAAUGAUAGGGUUUUGGUUUGUCAAUGGAGGUGGGCAUUGUGGCUGUCCUUGAAAUAAGUUUUGAGUAGGGAAGGAAAUGGAUAAGUGAGGCACCAUGGAAGAAGAUAAACUCGAUCCAAAAUCUCACAAGAUGUGCCCUAAAAAAUGGUCAGCUCUUUCCUAGGACACUAGGGAAAAAAAUGCACAUGCCCCCAUCCAUCCUUAUUUCCUGGAAUCCAACUAAAAUUUCAGAAAGGUGUCAAAUGCCAACUGCCAAGAUAUGAUAUUGUAAGACAAAUAUGAAAAGGUAAUGAAGGAAAUUUAAAACAGCAAGAUAUUUGCGAUGUAAUG